GACGAACGCUGGCGGCGUGCUUAACACAUGCAAGUCGAGCGGAAAGGCCACUUCUGUGGUACUCGAGCGGCUAACGGGUGGGUAACACGUGAGUAAUCUGCCCUUGGCUUUGGGAUAGCCACCGUAAACGGUGAUUAAUAACGGAUACGACCACUCCAGGCAUCUGGUGGUGGGGUAAAGUUUUUCGGCCAGGGAUGUGCUCGCGGCCUAUCAGCUUGAUGGUGGGGUAGUGGCUCACCAUGGCUUCGACGGGUAGCCGGCCUGAGAGGGUGACCGGUCACACUGGGACUGAGACACGGCCCAGACUCCUACGGGAGGCAGCAGUGGGGAAUAUUGGACAAUGGGCGGAAGCCUGAUGCAGCAACGCCGCGUGAGGGAUGACGGCCUUCGGGUUGUAAACCGCUUUCGGUAGGGACGAAGCGCGAGUGACGGUAACUAGUAAAGAAGCACCGGCCAACUACGUG
rnacentral:rRNA from 1 species